GGAAUAUUGGACAAUGGGUGAGAGCCUGAUCCAGCCAUCCCGCGUGAAGGAUGACGGUCCUAUGGAUUGUAAACUUCUUUUGUAUAGGAAUAAACCUUUCUACGUGUAGAAAGCUGAAGGUACUAUACGAAUAAGCACCGGCUAACUCCGUGCCAGCAGCCGCGGUAAUACGGAGGGUGCAAGCGUUAUCCGGAUUUAUUGGGUUUAAAGGGUCCGUAGGCGGACCGAUAAGUCAGUGGUGAAAUCUCAUAGCUUAACUAUGAAACUGCCAUUGAUACUGUCGGUCUUGAGUAAAUUAGAGGUAGCUGGAAUAAGUAGUGUAGCGGUGAAAUGCAUAGAUAUUACUUAGAACACCAAUUGCGAAGGCAGGUUACCAUGAUUUAACUGACGCUGAGGGACGAAAGCGUGGGUAGCGAACAGGAUUAGAUACCCUAG
rnacentral:rRNA from 1 species